ensembl:lncRNA
AUGCAGGUUCCAAGGAUGACGACUGUGAGGGACAGAGAAGUCCCCAUCUUGGACGUGGGGAUCAAAAGCGGCUCCAGAAUCCUUGAGGUGUCCUUAUGGCGGGACCAGGCCUUGUCCAAAUUCAAAAUUAAUGAUAAAGUGAACAUAUGUCACCUUCGAGCAAGCGCCAAGGCCACCAAGUUAAAUUCAACCAUGCACACAACUUUUUUGCAAUUUGCAAGGUUUUGGAGCAAGGACCAGUGGUGGAGGACAUUGUGGUCAUUGGCUUGUCCAAAGCCUAAGGUCUUCUUGCUCGCUGAGGACUUCAGCGAAUACACGGCACCUCCUGAGCUGCUUGAAGGGAGUGUAGAAGAGCUCCUGUGCCAGCUUCCACUUCAUUUAGAAGUAAUGCAUGAGCACAGAAAAUUUUUAAAAAAAUUAAUUAUGUUGAUUAAAUGUAAGUUUUUUAGUUGUGUGAAAUAGUUCUUUUCCCUGUAAUUGUUUGUUGUUCCAUUUUAUUAUAUUGAUUUGUUAUUUAAUUGUUUUGCAUAUAUAUAUAUAUUAUAUAUAUAAUUUAAAAUUGUUCUUUAUAGAUUGUUUAUUUAUUGAUAUCGAUAAUAUUGAUUUUAUUUUAUCUAACAUUAUCUAGAAUUUCUCCUAUUGUUAUUCAAUUUAAAGUGAUUUAUUCAGUUUCAUAAAGUGAAUUUCAAUACAUUGAGACAUUUCCUCUGUUCCUCAUGAUUUUCUAUUGUAAUUUGAUCAUUUGUUAUUUUGUUGCUGAUUAUUUAGUAGUAAUAAAGUAUACAUAUAUUGUUAUAAAACCGUUGAA